rnacentral:rRNA from 1 species
CCUACGGGUGGCAGCAGUGAGGAAUAUUGGUCAAUGGGCGAGAGCCUGAACCAGCCAAGUCGCGUGAGGGAGUACUGCCCUAUGGGUUGUAAAUCUCUUUUGUCGGGGAGCACAAGCCGGACGUGUACGGCUGUGAGAGUACCCGACGAAAAAGCAUCGGCUAACUCCGUGCCAGCGGCCGCGGUACUACGGGGGAUGCGAGCGUUAUCCGGAUUUAUUGGGGUGAAAGGGUGGGCAGGGGGAUUUUUAAGUGCGCGGGAAAAUCGUGGGGGUCACACCCAUCCAGCCGUUGAAACUGGGGAUCUAGAGUGUGCGAGAGGUAUGCGGAAUGCGUGGUGUAGCGGUGAAAUGCAUAGAUAUCACGCAGAACCCCGAUUGCGAAGGCAGCAUACCGGUGCACAACUGACGCUCAGGCACGAAAGCGUGGGUAUCGAACAGGAUUAGAUACCCCAGUAGUC